GUACAAAAACGUCCGCUAGACUGGUUUGUGCGCUUUACGAUUAGUCACAUUGGGAAACAGUCAAAUUGCUCCGGAACAAAUGGAAUAGUUCACGAACAUUAGUGAAACGUUUGGUGGCUGAACUUGGGGCUUUAUUCGUAAAAAUGGUUCUCAAAAUACAUGUCAUCUAUUGUGGUGCAUGAGGAUAUGGACCACAUUAUAACAAGAUAAAGUCUCGCCUCGAGGACGAGUUUCCUGGACAACUGGAAUUUAGCAGUUAUGCGACUCCAGUCAGUACGGGUUUCUUGGAGGUUGAGGUGGUCGGUGGAAAGCUUCUUCACUCCAAAAAGAAUGGUGACGGGUACAUAAACACUGAAGCCAAAGUUCAGAAAAUCAUUAAGGGAGUGAAAGAAG